rnacentral:rRNA from 1 species
CACGUAGGGCGCAAGCGUUGUCCGGAAUUAUUGGGCGUAAAGAGCUCGUAGGCGGUCUGUUGCGUCCGCUGUGAAAACUCGAGGCUUAACCUCGAGACGUCGAUGGAAACCGCAUGGCUAGAGUCCGGAAGAGGAGAGUGGAAUUCCUGGUGUAGCGGUGAAAUGCGCAGAUAUCAGGAAGAACACCCGUGGCGAAGGCGGCUCUCUGGGACGGUACUGACGCUGAGACGCGAAAGCGUGGGGAGCGAACAGG